GUGAGGAAUUUUGCGCAAUGGCCGCAACCCUGAUCCAGCAAUGCCGCGUGCAGGAAGAAGGCCUUCGGGUUGUAAACUGCUUUUGUACGGAACGAAACGGUCCUGGUUAAUACCUGGGGCUAAUGACGGUACCGUAAGAAUAAGCACCGGCUAACUACGUGCCAGCAGCCGCGGUAAUACGUAGGGUGCAAGCGUUAAUCGGAAUUACUGGGCGUAAAGCGUGCGCAGGCGGUUUUGUAAGACAGGCGUGAAAUCCCCGGGCUCAACCUGGGAAUGGCGCUUGUGACUGCAAGGCUGGAGUGCGGCAGAGGGGGAUGGAAUUCCGCGUGUAGCAGUGAAAUGCGUAGAUAUGCGGAGGAACACCGAUGGCGAAGGCAAUCCCCUGGGCCUGCACUGACGCUCAUGCACGAAAGCGUGGGGAGCAAACAGGAUUAGAUACCCGGGUAGUCC
rnacentral:rRNA from 1 species